GCCGCUCCAUUUUUUUCUCGAAAUGAUUUGAUCUUAUUGCUUUCAAAAUUAUUCUGUUUGCUGUAUGUAGAUUUAGGUUUCGAUGUAACUAUAUAGGGCCUCUGUGAUUUUUUUUUCUUUUAAUAGAUGUUUGGUGUCGAUCUCUGAAGGAUUUUUUCAUUUGUUCUGCUCUAAACGGAUUGUUCUUCGUAGAUGUGCGAAUUGUUCGUGUUAUAUAAUGAGCAAACCGCAAGAGCCGCACCGGCCUUUCUUUCAUUUUGGGAAUCCUUUCCGUGCAAUAUCGCCAAAGGGUUCAAAAUUGUCUUCUAGACUUGUCUUUCUUUUAGCCACUUUUGAGGAUUCCUUGGCACAGAAGCUGACAAAGCUUACUCCUAAAUCAGAUAAUGACGUAUUUAGCUUCUUAUGGAUGGGAUUAGCAAUGAAGCUGCUGUGUGAAAUUCACAAUGAUGUAAAAACUCUUAUAGGAGAUCUUGAGCUCCCUGUAUCUGACUGGGGUGAGAAAUGGCUAGAUGAGUACCUGGACAUCAGUGUGAAAUUACUUGACAUAUGCAAUGAUUUUAGCUCUGAUCUCUCACAGUUGAAUCAGGGUCAUCUGAUACUUCGGUGUGCCCUGCACAAUCUGGCUUCUACAUCUUCCAACCAGUUUGUUCCGGCCCGUUGUUCGUUAGAUGCAUGGAAUCAACAUAUUAGUUCCAGAACCUCCAGAGUUGAGAACCGUUCUCCUAUUAUGGACCAUCUUGAGGAAUUACUUGAUCUUCCGAAGGUCAAGAACUCACCCAAAGGCAAGGUUUUGAUGCAAGUGAUGUACGGAGUGAAGGUGGCAACUUUGUUUAUCUGCAGUGUUUUUGCUUAUGCCUUCUCCGGUUCUUCCAAAAGGCUGUUAUCCAUCCAUGUUCCGGAUACAUACAGAUGGGCACAAGCGUUUACUGAAUUACAGAAAAAUGUAAAUAUGGGAAUUAAAAUAAAUCAUUCCAGUGGAAGGUUUACUGCGUUGAGAGUUCUUGAUGCAGUUGAUGAGCGUGUAAAAAAACUGCAUUCUAUGAUUCAAGAAAAUAUUGAUGGUGGCAUGAAAGUGGAAGAAUGUCAAAAUUUGAUUGUAGAUUUGAGGAGCGAGGCAGAAAAGCUUACACAAGUGACAGAUGGAAAAGAUCAGAAGCAUGAGUUUUCAUGCGGUGUGUCGCGGUCUAGAACCGCCAACCUUGCCGGUGAACAUUUGCGAGUUAGCUGCACAAAUUGGCAGUGGGGUUGUGAAUUGUACUUGAUGGUUGGAUCCUUCUCACAUCUUGAACAUUUUCCUUAUCUUAUCUCAUCGUUUUCCUAGUUUUUUCUGGCAUAUAACUUCAUUUACUCGCUAGUUGCUUUUAAAGAGAAAUCAAGAUGACAUUCUAUGGGUGAGUCCAGCCUACCUAUAUUAAUCAUAACUGUGCUGGAAAGGUAAAAUACAGGUCUUACAGAACAUUUUUAGAUAGAUUUUUAUGCCAUCGGUAACGAUAUAUUGACUCGAUAUAGCUUUUUCUGGUACACAGCAAGAAAGCUUCAUGCAUGACUUAUUUGAUAUGAGCAUUUUCUCAACUCGACUGCUUCAAUUGAUGUCUGUAAAUGAGUCACCCGAAAUUCCCUCCAAUCUCGCUGCCAUUGUUGCGUUUUCAACGACUAUAUCCCUGUAGUUGAUUCCUUGAAUUACAGGCAAUGCGUGGGGGUCGUAUUUCUUAUCAGCAUGUGACCCGUAAUUGCCUGUCAUCCAAAAUGCCCAUUUCAUGGAAUCUGCAGAUGAAUUCGGUCAUUGGUUUAACAAGAUGUAUAAAACUACUUCUCGAAAAGUUCGAGUUGCUUUGGUGAACAAACCUGGGUUGAUACCGUCUGUAUUCGGAGAUCGAACUGGAGCGAUAAUGGUGAUGCCUUGAAUAACAAGGAUGAACAUUCCAAGAUGGAGAAUUCAGCAGGGUCAGAUUCGAUAUCUGUAUAUUGCUGGAAUACAUGAUCUCGAUCAAGUACGGUCGGGUGUACUUAAGCUUUCCCUGAUGAAACAGCUGCCACCAGCGAUCACCCUGACCGUCAAUCGUACCAUUGUUUCCUGAUGUCGAUUGUGUUGCACUCAAAUUUUCAGACACCAGUCAAGAAAAAUGAGAGACAGACGGAGGGUAUAUCAGUGGGACAUUUACCUGUGAUGACAACAUCAGUGAGAUUUGUUCCAAAGAUUAAACUGAUGUACCGUCCCCCCGAUGUGUCCCUUCCAUGACCGUAGGAUGGCAGCGGUUCGACCACAGACCAUUCGUUCAGAUCCUAUCAAAGAAGUUGAAAAUCAGUCAAUUUUAGAUGAAAAUCAGUCCUUAAAUUAUAGUCGUUGAAUCGACAAGUCUAGUUGAUUUAAGAUUUUUUCGACUCGAUGAUUUUGUAAGAUGGGGAUGGACCUUAACCUUAGAGUCGGUUGAACAACUUUAGCUGACCUAACCACAGUAAGUGUUUGGAUUUCAAAUGGUUAAGGCAUAAUUUAAGGGCCUAAUUUUACAUGGAAUCCAAUGGAUUUCAAAAUCAUUCAA